rnacentral:rRNA from 1 species
GACGUAGGGUGCAAGCGUUGUCCGGAUUUAUUGGGCGUAAAGAGCUCGUAGGCGGCUCGGUAAGUCAGGUGUCAAAUCCUCAGGCUCAACCUGGGGCUCCACCUGAUACUGCUGUGGCUAGAGUCCGGAAGAGGAGAGUGGAAUUCCUGGUGUAGCGGUGAAAUGCGCAGAUAUCAGGAAGAACACCCGUGGCUAAGGCGGCUCUCUAGUACGGUACUGACGCUGAGACGCGAAAGCGUGGGGAGCGAACAGG